AGAGUUUGAUCCUGGCUCAGAACGAACGCUGGCGGCAUGCCUAAUACAUGCAAGUCGAACGAGAAAGCUCCUUCGGGAGUGAGUACAGUGGCGCACGGGUGAGUAACACGUAGGUGACCUAUCCUUUUGAGGGGGACAACUCGAAGAAAUUCGAGCUAAUACCCCGUAAGCUGAACAACUUUGAAAGGAGUUCAGGAAAGAUUGCCUCUGCUUGCAAGCAAUCGCGAGAGGAUGGGCCUGCGGGACAUUAGCUUGUUGGUGGGGUAAAGGCCUACCAAGGCCACGAUGUCUGGCCGGUCUGAGAGGAUGGUCGGCCACACUGGAACUGAGACACGGUCCAGACUCCUACGGGAGGCAGCAGUAGGGAAUAUUGCGCAACGGGCGAAAGCCUGACGCAGCAAUGCCGCGUGAGCGAGGACGGCCUUCGGGUUGUAAAGCUCUGUCAAGGUGGAAAAACGGCACAUAUUCGAAUAGGGUAUGUGUUUGAUGGUACACCUAGAGGAAGCACCGGCUAACUUCGUGCCAGCAGCCGCGGUAAUACGAAGGGUGCAAGCGUUGUUCGGAUUUAUUGGGCGUAAAGCGCGCGCAGGCGGAUGAUAAAGUCAGAUGUGAAAUCUCGGGGCCUAACCCCGAAACUGCGUCUGAAACUUAUUAUCUUGAAUCUCGCCGGGGGAAGAGGAAUUUCGCAUGUAGGGGUAAAUCCGUAGAGAUGCGAAGGAACACCGGAGGCGAAGGCGUCUUCCUAGACGAGUAUUGACGCUGAGGCGCGAAAGCGUGGGGAGCAAACAGGAUUAGAUACCCUGGUAGUCCACGCUGUAAACGAUGUGCACUAGAUGUGGCGGGAGAUUGACCCCCGCUGUUUCGCAGCUAACGCAUUAAGUGCACCGCCUGGGGAGUACGGUCGCAAGACUAAAACUCAAAGGAAUUGACGGGGGCCCGCACAAGCGGUGGAUUAUGUGGCUUAAUUCGAAGCAACGCGCAGAACCUUACCUAGGCUUGAAAUCCCACGAAUUCCCCAGAAACGGGGAAGUGCCUUUACCGGAGCGUGGAGACAGGCGCUGCAUGGCCGUCGUCAGCUCGUGUUGUGAAAUGUUGGGUUAAGUCUCGCAACGAGCGCAACCCCUGUCCUUAGUUGCCAGCAUUAAGUUGGGCACUCUAGGGAGACUGCCCGGGCCAACCGGGAGGAAGGUGGGGAUGACGUCAGGUCCUCAUGGCCCUUAUGUCUAGGGCUGCACACGUAAUACAAUGGUCAGUACAGAGGGAAGCGAACCCGCGAGGGGGAGCAAAUCUCAAAAAGCUGAUCUCAGUCCGGAUUGGAGUCUGCAACUCGACUCCAUGAAGUUGGAAUCGCUAGUAAUCGUGGAUCAGCACGCCACGGUGAAUACGUUCCCGGGCCUUGUACACACCGCCCGUCACACCAUGGGAGUUGGUUUUACCUGAAGUCGUGGCCUUAACUGCGCAAGCAGAGGGGAGCGCCUACGGUGGGACUGAUGACUGGGGUGAAGUCGGAACAAGGUA
rnacentral:rRNA from 1 species